rnacentral:rRNA from 1 species
UACGGGGGGAGCAAGCGUUGUUCGGAUUUACUGGGCGUAAAGGGCGCGUAGGCGGCGCGACAAGUCACUUGUGAAAUCUCCGGGCUUAACCCGGAGCGGCCAAGUGAUACUGUAGUGCUAGAGUGCGGAAGGGGCUACUGGAAUUCUCGGUGUAGCGGUGAAAUGCGUAGAUAUCGGUAGGAACACCAGUGGCGAAGGCGGUCUCCUGGGGCAUUCUUGACGCUGAGGCGCGAAAGCUGGGGGAGCGAACGGG